AAUUAGCCUUCCACCGGCGCGUGCUUAAUUUUUCUUCUCCCACCGCCAAAAAUGGGAUUUCUGGAACGCGGCAACGCGAGGUGAUCUCUUCGUCCGCGCGCUCGGAUCGAGAUCUCCGAUGGGGAUCGCCUCGAACUUGGCUUCGAUCUGCUGCUUCCUUCUUCUCCUCAGCCUCGCACGCUGUAAAACCGUGAAGCGAGAUGUAAAGGCAUUAAAUGAAAUCAAGGCUUCACUUGGAUGGAGGGUGGUUUAUGCAUGGGUUGGAGAUGAUCCUUGUGGUGAUGGUGAUCUUCCCCCAUGGUCUGGUGUUACGUGUUCUCAACAAGGAGAUUACAGGGUUGUGACAGAAUUGGAAGUGUAUGCAGUAUCAAUUGUUGGUCCUUUUCCUACUGCUGUUACAAAUCUCCUGGAUCUGACGAGGCUGGAUCUCCAUAACAACAAGUUGACUGGACCCAUCCCUCCUCAAAUCGGGCGGCUGAAACACCUCAAGAUAUUGAACCUGAGAUGGAAUAAGCUGCGAGAUGUUCUUCCUCCUGAAAUUGGUGAACUAAAGAAACUAACACACUUGUACUUAAGCUUCAAUAACUUUAGAGGUGAAAUUCCUGUAGAGCUUGCAAACUUGCCCGAACUUCGUUAUCUCUAUCUUCAUGGUAACCGUUUUUCUGGAAAAAUUCCUCCAGAGUUGGGAAAUCUCAAGAAUCUACGACACCUUGAUGUUGGUAACAACCACCUCACAGGAACAUUAAGAGACCUCAUCCGCAAUGGGGACUGCUUUCCGUCCCUCCGCAACUUAUACCUGAACAAUAACCACUUGAGUGGAGGAUUGCCGGAUCAGCUUGCAAAUUUGAUCAACCUGGAAAUUUUGUACCUGUCAUACAACAAGAUGACUGGACCAGUAACUCCAAGACUUGUCCAUGUUCCAAGACUAACCUAUUUAUACUUGGACCACAAUGCAUUCACAGGGAGGAUCCCUGAUGCGUUGUACAAACACCCCUUCCUUAAAGAGCUGUACAUUGAAGGUAACCUGUUCAAGCCCGGCGCAAAGCCAAAGGGUGCACAUAAGGUGCUUGAAGUCACCGAUACAGAGUUUGUCUUCUAAUAAAUCUGCUAUUAUAUACAGAACUUGAAGAUGUAUGCAACUUCUGCGGAAAAAUGGGGGACGAGAUGGAGUCAUGGUUGGAAAGUGGAAGUGGAUAUAUCCUUCCAUUUUCAUGACUAACACAUGCCAAUUACUGAUAGAAAACAGACAAAUGAUGAUACCAAUGCAUAUAUUUUUUCUCCCUUCCAUGUGCUGCAUGAGGUCUUCACAUGUUAGCACCACCAAGAGUGAGCAUCAUUAAAAGCUUGUAUUGCUCCCUGCAAUUCUCACAAUAAGAGGUGGAUUCAACUCUAUAUAUUUUAUUACCUUGUCGUUGAUUAUACAUAAGCUGAAGUCCUUAUCUUGCAAGAUACGUUUUUUUUCUCAGCUAUUAAUUUUUGUUUCCAGGCUCCUAACAGGUACUAUUUUUCCAUUUAUUAAUUUUCUUCCCUUUUCUAAGAGAGGGUAAGCCUUAAUGUAACUGUAAAGUUGCUCCAUCGUGAUAAAGUUGUGUCCAUCUGAGCUUCCCCAAAACUUGCGGUGGAGAGAGUUCCAUACACUUGACCACUCUUUAUUAAUUUCUUCUUUCUGGACUUCUACAAGAUGGAGCCAACCGAAUUUUUUAUUCCAGAAUACUGGUUUAAUCUUAAGUGCCCCUAUAUCUUGUGGCUGUAGAACUUAAGGUUUUUAUUUUUUUUUCCUGUUUGGAUGCUCAGAGCACUUCCUAAAGUGUAACCUUUCUGUCUUCUUUUCCUAUUUUUUGCUUACUGUCCUGUGCCUAAUUGCCUCCUA